rnacentral:rRNA from 1 species
UGGCGGACGGGUGAGUAAUGUCUGGGAAACUGCCUGAUGGAGGGGGAUAACUACUGGAAACGGUAGCUAAUACCGCAUAACGUCGCAAGACCAAAGAGGGGGACCUUCGGGCCUCUUGCCAUCGGAUGUGCCCAGAUGGGAUUAGCUAGUAGGUGGGGUAACGGCUCACCUGGGCGACGAUCCCUAGCUGGUCUGAGAGGAUGACCAGCCACACUGGAACUGAGACACGGUCCAG